CAAAGAGCCAAGGACUUUUCUGCUUCUUGUGCUGUACUGCCAGCAAGGAGGCUGGGGGUGUACAAGAAGUUGGAAGGAGACACAGACAGGGCAGGUGACCCAAAUGGUCCAAAGAGGUGAUAUGUCUUUAGUUGAGCUUCUAGCAAUGUGGAACUGGAAAAACGAGUCAUCCAGAUGCAGACCCAUCUGGACCACUAGCUGUGGAAGAAAACAGACUUGAUGCAUUUAUCAUCAGGAUAACCGAAUCUGUAUGUGUCUAGGCCUAAUUCUUUCUUACAAUGUAAACUUUUCCUUGGCAUACAGUAGAAAAUUACUUCUACCUGUAACCAAAACCACCUUAUAUUUCACGAUUCAAGUUUUCUUUCUUCUCAUACUAGUAUUUAAGAGAAAGAGGUUGAAAAAAAAGUGGAAAAGAUAAGUGAGCUGACUUUAAAUGAAACUGCAUGAGGAAAGCAAGGAGAAAGGAUGCAGGUUCUAUUAAAUGUCACUGAGUUUUGAAACUUCACAAAGCAUAUUAAACUACAAAAAAUAACAUCAGAAAAUUGACUGAUAUAUAUCAUGACAUUACUGAUGCUUACUAACAGCCUUCUAGAAGUUAACUGUUUCAUAGAGGCAAACAUCCACAAGACACUCGCAUGUGCAAUUGAUCUGCUUUUGUUCAAAGGACUUUGAAAGAAUUUGAAUGAUGACUGGGUUACUCAGGCUACUUCCUUACAACUGUGCUUAGCUGCUUUGCCUUAAUACCCAAUUUCUCACUUUUGAGAUAAUACUGACUUGAAUGUUCAAUGCUGUUUUGACAUGGAUACGCAAAGACUAAAUGUGCUUUUCUGUAGUUACUGAUAUGCCGUGCCUUGGCAGAAUGUAAGUGAUUUAACCGUUUAUACUGUCUUUGUUUUGAAAUCCUUAAUCUAGGUUGUACAUGACAAUAUGAUAUUUACUUGUGACUUUUUCUUGUUGAAAAGUUUUUUUUUGUAAUUGUUGUUUCUAAUUUUUUUUGCUUGUUCUUAACACAAGUCUUGGUGAAAAUAUAGAACAGUUCUAGAGAAUGUGAAUGUGGUUUAAUUUCAUAUGGCUAAACAAGAAAAGUGGUUCUUUGUUGGAAAAUCAUGGAAUCAUUGGGUGUUCACUGCUGAGCCCUUAAAAAAAAAAAAAAAAAAAAAAAAAAAAAAA